AUGUCCCACUUGAGAGACGAACGACAUAGCGGGGAUAAUUACAACGGUACUUUCGUUGGCUACGACUUGGCGUUUUAAACAGACAUACUUUACACUCAGUCGCAAGUGCAUCGACAAAUGAUACUAGAAUCAUAUAUUCAAUCAUGUCCGACCAGAAAAAACAGGAAAAAGAGGAUGAGACAGGGGAUACCGAUUAUACAGACUGUGCUCAAAUUAUGAGUUUAAAAAUGAAAACGCUUCUAAAAAUUUGUUUAUAUUCCGUAGUAGGCCCGAUAAUUUUAUACUGCCUCUUUUUUGCCUAUCUACAUUAUCAAGAAAAUUUAGUAAGGAUACAUACGAAAAUAAUCAAAGUAGAAGAAAAGAGACCAAUAUAUAGGAUAUAUGCAAGAAGUAAUGAUACUGGAUACUUAAAGCACGUAGUCACCGUUCUUGACCGGUUGGGUUUUAAAGAGACCAAUAACGAUUCAAAUUGGGACUUAUUAUGGGCUCAUGACUAUCCAUUCAGAGUUCUAUCUUCUAACUUAAGUAAAUUACAAGAUCAUCAACGAGUUAAUCAUUUUCCCGGUUGUGGAUAUAUUACAAACAAAGUAGAUUUGUCAACAACUAAAGGACAAUACAUACUUCCGGCGUUCAAAUUGCCAGAACAACGAGAUGAAUUCUUGAAACAUGCUGACGAACAUCCUAAAAAAAUAUUUGUGGAGAAGUCCAAUGACCAUCGCGGUAUUAGAGUAAAAAAUAUAAGCGAUAUAAAUCUUGCAGUGACUGGUUCAUUCGUCCAGGAGUUCAUACAGCAACCAUUUCUUGUUGAUGGCUAUAAAUUUGACAUUGGAGUGUAUACUGUAAUCACUUCAAUUGAUCCUGUUAGAGUGUACAUAUAUAAAGGUGAUGUCUUAUUUAGAUUUUGUCCCAUAAAAUAUCAUCCAUUUAAUGCAGAAGUUUUAGAUAAGUAUGUAGUUGGAGAUGAUUAUUUACCAAUAUGGAAUGUUCCUUCCUUAAAACAUUACUACACUACAUUAGGGUUUUCAAUGAAAGACUCGUUUGAUGCCUAUGUAAGAUCACUUGGAAGUGAUUCCCAGAAAGUGUGGAGCGCUAUGUACGAAGCAAUAAGAGAAAUAACUUUGGCAAAAGAAGGAUAUAUCAAAGAAGCUGUGGAACGUUAUGGAAAUGGAAGAAAUUUCUUUGAAUUAGUUCGGUUUGACUUUGCCCUUGAUGAGAAUUUGAAUGUGUAUACCAUGGAAGCUAAUAUGUCUCCAAAUCUAUCUUCUGCGCAUUAUCAGCCAAAUCAAUUGCUUUAUGAACAAGUUAUAUAUAAUUUGUUUGCUUUAGUCGGUGUUGGACAAAGACUUAAAAAAGAUUCCUUGAAAAUAAGAAGUCAGGUAGAAGAUCAAAUGAUAAUAGCUGAUAAAAAUUUAGUAGUUCUCCCAGAACUCUGUAUGGAAUGUAACGAUUGUUUCCGUGUAGAAUGUCAGCUUUGUAAACCAUGUUUCACGGCUGAAACUAAACUCAUCUUAUCCCAAAGUUAUAAUGAACAUCAAAAUAAAAUGGACUUUCAGAGGAUUUUUCCACCACCGAUAACAAAAAAUAUGGUGCUAAAAGAUUAUACACUGAGGAAUCAGUUAUUAAUCAGAUGGUACCAAGGAAAAUGUGAAAUAGACCACUCAUGGUGUUCAUAAAUACUUUUAAGCUAAAAUAAUUUUAUAAUAGUUUAUUAUAAAAUAAAUAAGUAUAAAAAAUUAACAAAUACAAUACGUUUUUUAUACUUGCUGCACAUAUUUUAAUUUUUAGGAAGAAUAAGUUUAAUGCUAAGACCUGAUCUAUACAGUUUAUCUCAGCGUGUCUAGUUGCAUUACGAGUUUCAUUAACAGUAUUGUUACCUAUAGCAAUGACUUCAUUAUUGUAUACAAACAAACAUCCAACAGGAACUUCUCCCGCUUUUAAUGAAUCAUUUGCUUUUUGUAAUGCAACAUCCAUCCAACCCAAUGUAUCCACCAUAUUAUGAUACAGUACCUAUAAGCUUUUAACUGUUUUUUAAAUUAUUAGAAGAAUUAAACACUGACACAAAAAGGCUAAUAUUUGAAAAUUCAAAAUAUUCUUUUUCAAAAUGUCUUUGGAUUAAUAAAUACACUUAACUGCUCUUGGACUAGGAUGAGGUAAACAUAGAACCUAAAAAUAUUGGCAUUUAUUAUUGCAAACAACAUAUUUAAUAACAUAUUAGCAAAUAACAACAAAGAUAUUUAAUAUCUUUAAUAUUUAUGUUUACCUUGGUAGACAAUUUAUGAGAUUGUACUACGAGUUGAGCACGUUUUUCUGCAUAUCCACCAAUGCCAAUAAGAAUUUCUACUUUUAGUAGUCGAAUUGUAUCUGCCAAAACUUUAUCACAAGCAGAGUGUACUUUUUGUAUUUCAGUUCCCUACAGAUACAAACUAUUUAGUAUACAUGAAUAUACAUAAUUUUAUAUUAAAAAUAUUAUAUUUUAUUAUAAUAUUAUUAUAUUAUAUUACCUUUAUUUCAGAUGGUGUAAUGUUGCGCCCUUUCUUAUCCAUGAAUGCAAUAGGGCAAUAAUUAUGUAUAUAUGCAUGUUCAAAGAAGUUUUCUGGAUUUCCACAUAAUUCUUGGAAAAGUCCCCAUAAUCUUUUUCCACUGACCUCGCUACGUGUGCAUUGAAAUCCAGUUACUUUUCUAUCUGGCUGUUCUUUGGCAGGUUUUCCAACUGGUCCACAAAUCUUUAACCAAUCACGAACCAUACUUAUUUCUCCAAAUGGAACACCAGUUUGAGACAUGCCCCAAGGACCAGGAUUCAUUCCAAGAAAUAAAAUCCUUUUUGUAGUAGAACAAUAUUUUUUGACAUAUUUAGCAUGUACAUCAAAUGCAUAUUCAAGAGGGCUAUAAACAUAUUCUACAGGUAGACGAAAUGUGAUAUUUCCUAAUUCGGUAGUCAAGUUACGUUCCAAUAAUAACAAUUUUUCAGAAAUAUCAAGUGCUGUAUCAAUUGUACUUGCAACACUAUACUCUGUAUCUUCGCAAUAUUCUUCUGAAAUUUUUAUUCUCUUAGCAUUAAUGUCUGGAGAUUCACUAUCACGCCUUGUUUUAGUCUUUCUUGAAGUUGACAUUCUGGUUAAUUAUACUUGUUUUGUGACUAUUCUUCUAUAACACCACUGUAAUUGUUUGUUAUUAUUUAUAUAUAAUUUUAUAUUUUAGAAUAAACGUGUGAAAAGAA